GGCGCGAGAGCGCCCCGCCCUCUUCCGGGGCGCUUCCCGGGGCUGCCGUGUUCCCCUGCCCGGAGCGGGCUCGGGGACUGGAGCUGGACAGCCGGCGGGCCCGAGCGUCUGCAGUGAGGCCCCUAAGCCGAAAAAUGCUUUCAGGGGCCUAGGGCUCCGAAUUAGAGUGGAAGUUGUGCGGCAGCUACUGUGAUCAUCUGCCUCUAGGUUUUCUUCACCAGCUCCCUCGUCUUCCUCCUGAGCACUCCACGGGGGCUUCCAGCUUGCAGCACAGAGCUGGCUGGUGUCCUGCACAUCCAACACAAGCUGUCAGUUUCCUGCCUAAGUGUGUGCCUCCUGCUCUGUGCCUGAUCUGUAGUAAUGACUCCCCAAGAGAGCCUCUGGCUUCUGCUGUCCCUGCUGCUCUUUGCCCCACCACCUGCUGAGGAGCCAUCCACAGCCAAAGUGGGAAAGGUCCUGUGUCCUGAUUACCGACUGUCCAUGUUCCUGUCCCUGUUUGCUUCCUGCUGCUCUUAUCAAGAAAAUUACAGAGGCCAGUGUAGCCGGACUUAUACCUCCAAAGCUGGCUCCCCGCCUCCUGUUCUCCAAGCAUCACCUUUCUCAAGAGGCACUUUGUUCCUGUUCUGCUGCUGCUGACUGCUUCUUUUGUCUUCAUUCUGUCUACAAGAAGAAAUUAACUUCCACUUCACAGCCUCCGCACCACUCCUACCUUGAAUCCUGUUGCACACACUGUGCUUCCUGUUUGGCCCCUUUUCACAUUCGCGUCCAUACCUGCCUCUCCCUUGCACCACUUCUAGAAAAUUCUCACUCUCCUUCCAGAAUCUGGCUCUGGAGCCCCUGGUGAGAUCUUCCCCAACCAACCUAGGGCUACCUGGAAGGUAUCAGUCACUUUGGUUUCUUGCAGCACAAGCACCGUGGUCCCACAUGGCCUACAGGACACACCCCCGUCUUGUGUUGAUCUGGCCUCAUGUCUCUCCUUCACUAGAGGAAGAACAUGUGGAAGACAGGUGCUGGCCGGCUUGGCCCUGUGAGCCUUGUGCGAGUGGGGAAUAGGUGUCUUUAGAAUGUGCUACCUGUAAUCAGGACCCAUGUCUAAGCUCAGAUGCCUUCAGGAGAUUUGGGUUAAUGAGAAGGUUCUAUAAAUCCAGGGCAGAGAUUUUGUUUCUCUAAUUGGCACACCUCCCUCCUUCCUCUUCCUUAAAGCCAACUCAUCCUUAGCUGGCAAUCUAAGUUGAUUUGUGCCUCAAGGUUGGGUUGUUUGUGAUGUCUUCUUCGUUCCCUCUUUCUCUCUCUUUUUUUCCUUCCAAAGUUCAAUUUUAAACCAAGUUAAAUGUUUCCUUUCGUUCUAUCUUCCUUUGACUUACCCAAGCUACCCCAAUAGGACCAACAACCUGCUUCUUGUCCUUGAUGGAAAUAAAGGCCGACUGUACUGGGUUCACAUCAAA
ensembl:lncRNA